rnacentral:rRNA from 1 species
CCUACGGUGAGCAGCAGUCGAGAAUCAUUCACAAUGGGGGAAACCCUGAUGGUGCGACGCCGCGUGGGGGAAUGAAGGUCUUCGGAUUGUAAACCCCUGUCAUGUGGGAGCAAAUUAAAAAGAUAGUACCACAAGAGGAAGAGACGGCUAACUCUGUGCCAGCAGCCGCGGUAAGACAGAGGUCUCAAGCGUUGUUCGGAAUCACUGGGCGUAAAGCGUGCGUAGGCUGUUUCGUAAGUCGUGUGUGAAAGGCGCGGGCUCAACCCGCGGACGGCACAUGAUACUGCGAGACUAGAGUAAUGGAGGGGGAACCGGAAUUCUCGGUGUAGCAGUGAAAUGCGUAGAUAUCGAGAGGAACACUCGUGGCGAAGGCGGGUUCCUGGACAUUAACUGACGCUGAGGCACGAAGGCCAGGGGAGCGAAAGGGAUUAGAUACCCCUGUAGUC